GGCUCAAUGGUCUAGUAGCAUGAUUCCUGCUUCGGGUAACACACCGCGCUUACGUAAGCGUUCAGUGCAGGAGGUCGCGGGUUCAAUUCCCGCUUGAGCCC